GCAGUCUCCACACCAGAUCCGGAAACGUUGCUCAUCGUUUUCCACCAAUAACAUCAGACAGCCUUCGUAUCGAACAAAGAACUGCCACGUACGACAUGGGACCCAAUUGAUCCGGUCCUCUCGUUCUCGCCGUCGUGGGAGAUAUUUCGGUCAUGAAACUCCCAACGGCUGAGCGCCGGAGGCAGCUCCUCUUUCCGCCAAAUCGAAACCCUAACUCUAUUCCUCCCUUCUUCCUGCUCUCAGGAUGAGCAAUCUGAGAGCAAUUUGCCGCCGGUACGCCGUCAUCUACUCGAUCUACUGCUGCAGAAGCCACGGCCGCCUAGGUUUCGUGCCAUCCGCGGGGUAUUCUGAUCUCCGGCUCCCGUCCCCUUGUUUUGCAUCAUCUCCUUUUGUCGUCGAUGACGCCCCGAGGAUGGGGCCGGGGUCGCGCGCUAAUCCGAGGAGGACGAUCACCAGGGUCUCCAAUUGGAACUCCGAGAAAUCACGUCAUGAGACUCUUGAUUAAUCUCGAGGAAGAGAGAAAUAUUUUGGCAUAGGAGAAGAAGGCAUCCAUGGAGUACUUCUCCAACACCCUAGAAAGGUGUACACUCGUCUAUAAGAAGCGAGAUCUGAUGCGAGAAAAGGCCGAAGAUGACAACACAAGGGACAUCACUCAACUUUUAGCUGCAGAAGACCUUGAGCUCGAUACAGACGAUGACGAGGCUGUAUGAGUUGCUUAGUUGUACAUAGAAUUCUUGUCGCCUUGUCAUGGGGAAAUCUCCAUCUAAUAUUCUAUGACUAUACCCAAAGAUGUAUAUAUCAUUGUUUCUUGAUUUAUAAUGUGAAAAUUGAAAUCAGUCUCUUAUCAA